UUUUUUUUUUUCAAUUUAAAUGAUAAACAUAAAGAUAGUACAAUAUGUGUUGGAACAUUUUUUUUUAUUCAUGCUUUGAGCUCAAUACCAGUGACUAAGAAAAAAACACACUUUAAGGUUACACAUAGAUCAUAUUUCAAAACCUCAUGAGAAAUUAACAAACAAAAACCUUAUCCUAAAAACCAAACAAAUUUCUUCGAAGUAUGACCAAUGGUCAAGAAUAAUGUAAGAUCAACCAUCUUUUAUCUCAUUCAUCUAUGGAAGAAAUUUUGUUAUUGUUUGCUUGUAUUGACUUUAGGUGGUCUUUAGUAUUAUCAAUCCAACCAACCACAAAUUCAUUUGCGAGGUUGAAUGAAUGUUUAAUUGGUGAUAGUCGUCUCAAGCCCCUUACUCAAAAUAUAGAAUGGGAAAAACAAGUUUCUCUUGGACAUUUUAACAAACGCAUGGAGCACAAACUUAAAACAAACUAAAAUUAAAACCAAAAACCAAGCAAAAAAAUGUAACCCUAAAAUCAUAAAAUCACCAACAAAGAUAUUAGAUUCCAAACCAAGCAAUGAGGGAGUCACCAAAACACAAAGACAUCAUGGUGGCUAUGAAGAGGUCGCUCGAAGGCGAAUAUAUAAGUGAAGACGCAACAUUCAUAAAAUGAAAACAAAACAAAACAAUGUUUAGGUAAUGAAAGAUAAACUCCAACCAAAUAUAUUCGGAUNNNNNNNNNNNNNNNNNNNNNNNNNNNNNNNNNNNNNNNNNNNNNNNNNNNNNNNNNNNNNNNNNNNNNNNNNNNNNNNNNNNNNNNNNNNNNNNNNNNNAAUGGGCCAUUUUAUUUUUAUGAUUUAUAUAAAAUAAUGAAUUAAAUUAAAUGGUUGUUUCUGAUUUAAAAUAUUAAAUUAAAAAGUGACCUUUUUCUUCUUGUUGUCUUUUGCUUUUCUUCUAAUAUUAUUAGAUUAAAAAUGUUAAAUUAAUUAGAGUGAUUAUGAGUGACGGUGGGGUGUUCAAAAAAUUUGAUCAAAUUUGUUAUGAAUUUGGUGAAAGAAGGAAUUGACAUCACAACGUUUUUUGACAAAAAAUGAUUCUAAACAUUAGUCAACAAAUGUGGGUUCAUUGAAUAGUGGGUAAUCAUAUUUAUGUUCAAAAUUCAAGGGAUUAUUCUUCUACUCAUAAUAGUGACAAAAUUGUUUGUACAAGUACAAACUUCACAAAAUUAUCAUUUUUUUCUAUGAUAAAAAUAAUUUUAUUAAUGAAAGUGUAGUAAUAAAUCAAAAGUCAACGGUAGAAAUAAAUGUGGAGUAUCUUUAAUCUAUGUAGAGUCUAGACUAUGAAAAUAGUAUUCACUUAAAUAUGAAUAAUAUGGACAAUUUGGUUGAGAUUGUUCAAAACCGAACCAAUCCAAUAGAAAAAGUGUAAAUUGAACCAACCUGAACCGAAAUCGUAAAAAACAACAUUUUGUUUGAAUGUAUUCGGAUCACUUUUUUACUUAACCGCAUGGUUUGUUUCAGUUUGUGGUUUUUAUUUUACCAACCAAAUCAAACCACAACAUAAGAAAAACACUAAUUUAACCUAUAAGUCAUCUAGACCAAUACUCAUAAAAACUCAACGAAAACUUUGAUAAAAUGACGUAUUUUUUCUCUUGUUAAAUUUCUUCUUUACUUUUUAUUUCAAAAAUGUAUUUAUGUGCUACUUGAAAUUUUAUAGAAUUAUAAAAUUUUAGUCUUUUGCAUUUUGUUUAGUGAAAAUAAAAUUGUAAUUUUGGUUGAAAUGUAAACAUUGUUGAAAACAUUACUGGAAAUAUGUUGUGUUAUAGCUUUGGUCAAAUACUUUUCCGGGUUCUUUAAGUUUCAUGUUUGUUUCAGAUAGAUCUUUUAAGUUUCUAAGGUUUUAGAUAGGUCCUUUAAGUUUGGAGUUUGUUUCGGAUAGGUCCUUUAAGUUUUUAAGGUUUCAGAUAGGUCCUUUAAGUUUCGAGUUUGUUUCAGAUAGGUCGUUUGAUAGAAAUGACCUAUCUGAAACAAACUCGAAACUUAAAGGACCUAUCUGAAACCUUAUAAACUUAAAGGACAUAUCCGAAACAAACUCGAAACUUAAAGCACUUAUAUGAAACCUUAGAAACUUAAAGGACAUAUCUGAAACAAACGUGAAACUUAAAGGAUCCAGGAAGGUAUUUGGACUAUAGCUUUUUAACUCGAUUUUAUUGUUUGAAACCAAAAAAAUUAUUGUGUCAAAAAAACGCACCAACCGAUCCAAUCCAAACCGCGUUGGUUUGAUUCAUAUUUUAUUUUCAAAGUCAACCGAACUGAACCAACCACAUGUAUUUUCAUCUUAUGGUUCAGAUGACUUUUAACCUCAAAACCAAACUGCACCGCAAACACCCCGGUAUAAUCUUCAUGCAUGUUAGGCUUAACACUAACCAAACUUUAAAAAAUACUUUAAACUAUGAAAAAAAUACUUUAAAAUUAAUAUAAUCUUCAAUACUAGUCUGACAUAAUUGAGAUACCGUUGACGAGCGUUGUGCGUCUGAAUUAUAUUAGAAACAUCUUAUUCGAAUUUAAUAAAAAGCUUACAACCUAACCAAAAAAAAAAACUUACAAUAAAAAGAUUAUUUACACACACGUAAAAUAAUUUAAUUAAUAUUAAUAUUACAUUCAUCAUUUUCAAUUUAAUAUUCUUUUUUGCAGCAUCCCAAAUCAAUUAAACAUACAUAUUCAAUAAGUUUCACACUCUUCUUUUAGGUAUUCUUUAAUUUGAUUCAUCAAGUUUUUUUAUGAACUACUUAUGUAUAGAAUUGUGAAAUGCAUAAAAACGUGACACCAAAAUUAGGUUGUUUAAAUCACAGGACCGGUAGUAUUACAACGAAAUUACAUUCUAUAUUUUCAUUGCAAUUGAUAUUUGAUAUUGAUUAUUAUUGGAUUCUUUUUUACAGCUUGAUAUUUAUCGAAUUAAAAAAUUCCUUAUCCAGUGAUAUGAUUGAUUAUUAAAGGUAAUUUAUCUUCAGAUUAUGAUGUUCCAAGAAAAGAAAUUGGUUACAUUGUAAUAUUCCAAAAUUGACAAUUUAGCAAACCUUUCUAUAGAAGAAUUUACGGCUUCUAUUGUUAAAAACUGAAAAAUCAUUAUCAAGAUGUAUAAUAACAUCACCAGAAUAAAUGUAAUCAAUUUUUUUUUUCUUUUUUCUUUUGAGACAGUAUAUGUUUGGUUUUUUAAGUGCUUUGCUUUCUUUUGCUUGUCUCGUCUUUUUCAUUCCCUAUUUUUCAUGUCAUUGGGUUGUUGUCAUUGUUUGAAAAUAGAAUAUCCAAAUUAAUUAAUUAAUAGCAAAAUUUUCAAAAUAUGACUACCAAUCGAUUUGAGUAUUUUAUUUUCAUUUCUUUUGUACCGUGAUUACUGGUUGAUUUUAUUUUUUUUAAAUCAGGUAUCCUCUGCGCGCAACUGUAGAGACUGCAGAGAUUAAUCUCUAGAGCAUUGUAGAAACCAAAUGGGCGGUAAGCUCUCCCUAAAAGUUUUAACGCUGCUGCAUGCUCAAGGUUGGAUUCGAACCCAAAACCUUGGUUAAGCUAGAAGAAACCGUUUCAUCUCAUCUAACUGCUCUUGGGUUGAUUACUGGUUGAUUUGAUAUAUAUUUUUUUUAUUAUCAUAGAAUAAAAUAAAUCUUUUUCACAACAAAAAUAAAAAGGAGAAAAAGUAUUCAACAUUUUACAGUUGUUUUCCAUAACACCAAUAUUUUAGCAUGCAUGAUGCUCAAUCAUGUUGAAGUACUAACAAACGAACCCCACUCUACCUUUUCGUUUUCUAGAUUGUGCUUUUUCAUAAUAUAUAUCAAGAGGCCACUAAUACCUAAUAAUGCAUCUGUGAGAUCAUAUUAGUUUAUUUGAUUACUCCUCUGUCUCGGUGUUUAUGUCUGCUGCUGUGGGUGUAUUUAAUAAUUAAUUUAAGCAUUUAUUUAAUUUGUGUGUUUGGGAGGUCGAGUUGGCUGAGAUGUUUUGUUUGUUCCUUAACCAGUGUUUCAGAGGCAUUUUAUAUUUUCUUUAUUUUAAUUUAUUUCCUAACUCUAAUUUGAUUUAUUUAAAAUGGUGGGGUGGCAAAAUUGGGAAGGGGUAGCAACUAGCAAGGAACAAAUGGAUAUAAUACAUGAUUACAUAUUGUUUAUUAAGCCAUGAAAGGCCUCUCUAACUAUGCUUCCAAGCAAGACAUUCCAAGAGUUGGAGUAUGUUCAAAGAAAGCAGAAACUAAUGAUUUUGACUCAAAGAUUGCACGGAAACAUCCACCUUCAAAUUCAGUUAAGCACAGACAAGUGUAAAAAGAAAACACACUCUAUUUGGAUAAUGAUAACAAAUGUUCUAAAAACACUAAAAAUGAAUAGUUUUAAACUUCAACUCAAAAUUUCUAUUUAUUUUUAUAAUUAGAAAUGUAUUCAAUUAGUUUAACCAAAAGGAUAGAUGAAAAAAAGUACAAAAGAUUACCAAAAUAAAAUGUCAAUCACGCUUGAAGUUAAGAUGAUAAAAACAUGAAAAACCUAAAAAAAAAAACACCCACGGUCACACCUAAAAAGGGAGAAGCACCUGCUAAGCGCGGAAAAACUGGAAUAAAAAAAAAAAUAAAGACAAAUCAUUUAAAUUGCCUUGAAGUAAAUCUUUUCCUUGAGCUUUGUCAAUGUUUUGUUAGAUUAUGAUUUUGGUCCACAACUUAUAUUUUUCUGAAAAAUGCUAAUGUGUGCACUUAUGAUAUUGUUUAAAGAAUUAAGAAAAAAUACUUCAUUCGUUCCGUAAUAGAUGACCCAUUUGAAAAUGUGCAAUUUUGACCUAAUUUACUUUGACUGUAUUUUUUUUACUAAUAUACAAAGAUAAAUAAUAUCAUAUAUGAUGUCGUUAGAUUCGUCUCAAUGAGUAUUUUCAAAAUAUAAAAUUUUCAUAAUUUUUUCUAAUAUUUUAUUCAAGAUAUUUAAACUCAAAGUUAUACAUUGACAUGCGUAAUAAAGUCAACUGUGUCAAGUAUUAUAGGACGGAGGGAGUAACUUUUAUAUAGAAAAUGAUGUGUUAGCGUGACUUUAUUUUUUAGGCAAAAUAUAUAGACUAUUUUCUAGUUUCCAUCAAAGAAAGUUUUUAGAUCGCCCAAUAUUCAUGUUCUUCUCUUUUAUUCACGUGGAUUUGCAACGUUAUUCGAUCAGAUAAGGUCCUGUUAGUGUGAGUAGAGCUGUCAAAACGGAUGGUCUGACCCGUUUAGGGUUGAGCUUAACGGGCAUUGGAUUUUAGCGGGUCAGGCCAAAAAGCUCGGUUGAAAAACGGGCUUGAAAUAUACCACUCGAGCCCGGCCCUAGACGGGCCGCGGGCUAAACGGACCGGCCCGUAUUAAAAAUUAUAUAUUUUUUAUUUUAAAAAAGUACUAUAAGACACUGCUAUAAUUUUUAUAUAAAUAAUAUUUUUAAUAUGUUUAAAUAAUGUCUAGCACAAAAAUAAAUUGUAAACAUUUUCGUACAAAAGUCGUAAACUAAAACGACGAGGAAAAUGAUUUUAAAUAAAUUAGAUAUGUUAUGGUUAUAGAUAUUUAUAUAUUCGAUCUUUAAAACUAUAAAUAACGAAACGAAUAAAUAUAAUUUUAUAUUACAUUUAUAUUUGUGUUAAUUCAUAGAAUUUUCACUUUCGUUUUUUACUUUGAUAAUCAACUAAGUAAAGAAUUAUUUGAAAAAUAUAUAUAAUUUAUAGGAUUUUUUUUUUUUUUUUGUAUGCAGGCCAACAACCUACCCGCGGCCCGUUCGGGCUAGACCUAACGGGUACCGGGCUUUUAAGGGCCGAGCUAAAAGGCCCUAUUAAAAUUCGGCUCAAUAUUUUAGGCCCAAACCCUAUAUUUAUUUGGGCUAAACGGGCCGGCCCAUAUGAUUCGACCAGUUUUGAUAGCUUUAAACGUGGAAGUCUUGUUUGGACACAUGUCUUUGAGCACACCAUUUAGGCACACACAUAAAAAUGUAUUUCAUUUUAUUUCUUAAAAAAUAUGUAUUAUUUAAUUAUUUUUUCUUUUCGCCUUUUCUCAAUAUUGUAUGAAUGCCUAAAUUUAGUGUUCAAAUACUUCUGCCGAAGCAAUUAUUUCCCCUACACAAAAGUCUAUAUCAAAACUUUUUUUUUUUUAGAAAUUGUAUGCCAGAUCAUUUAUUGGGCCAACCUCAGCAUGAAAUAUGUGUAAGAAAACAAAUUUUUUUUUUUUCAAUUUAAAUGAUAAACAUAAAGAUAGUACAAUAUGUGUUGGAACAUUUUUUUUUAUUCAUGCUUUGAGCUCAAUACCAGUGACUAAGAAAAAAAAACACUUUAAGGUUACACAUGGAUCAUAUUUCAAAACCUCAUGAGAAAUUAACAAACAAAAACCUUAUCCUAAAAACCAAACAAAUUUCUUCGAAGUAUGACCAAUGGUCAAGAAUAAUGUAAGAUCAACCAUCUUUUAUCUCAUUCAUCUAUGGAAGAAAUUUUGUUAUUGUUUGCUUGUAUUGACUUUAGGUGGUCUUUAGUAUUAUCAAUCCAACCAACCACAAAUUCAUUUGCGAGGUUGAAUGAAUGUUUAAUUGGUGAUAGUCGUCUCAAGCCCCUUACUCAAAAUAUAGAAUGGGAAAAACAAGUUUCUCUUGGACAUUUUAACAAACGCAUGGAGCACAAACUUAAAACAAACUAAAAUUAAAACCAAAAACCAAGCAAAAAAAUGUAACCCUAAAAUCAUAAAAUCACCAACAAAGAUAUUAGAUUCCAAACCAAGCAAUGAGGGAGUCACCAAAACACAAAGACAUCAUGGUGGCUAUGAAGAGGUCGCUCGAAGGCGAAUAUAUAAGUGAAGACGCAACAUUCAUAAAAUGAAAACAAAACAAAACAAUGUUUAGGUAAUGAAAGAUAAACUC
rnacentral:lncRNA from 1 species